rnacentral:siRNA from 1 species
CAAGUGAAAUACCACUAC